rnacentral:rRNA from 1 species
GAUGAACGCUGGCGGCGUGCCUAAUACAUGCAAGUCGAGCGAACAUACGAGGAGCUUGCUCCUCUGACGUUAGCGGCGGACGGGUGAGUAACACGUGGAUAACCUACCUAUAAGACUGGGAUAACUUCGGGAAACCGGAGCUAAUACCGGAUAAUAUAUUGAACCGCAUGGUUCAAUAGUGAAAGACGGUUUUGCUGUCACUUAUAGAUGGAUCCGCGCCGCAUUAGCUAGUUGGUAAGGUAACGGCUUACCAAGGCGACGAUGCGUAGCCGACCUGAGAGGGUGAUCGGCCACACUGGAACUGAGACACGGUCCAGACUCCUACGGGAGGCAGCAGUAGGGAAUCUUCCGCAAUGGGCGAAAGCCUGACGGAGCAACGCCGCGUGAGUGAUGAAGGUCUUCGGAUCGUAAAACUCUGUUAUUAGGGAAGAACAAAUGUGUAAGUAACUAUGCACGUCUUGACGGUACCUAAUCAGAAAGCCACGGCUAACUACGUG